UACGGGGGGGGCAAGCGUUGUUCGGAAUUACUGGGCGUAAAGGGCUCGUAGGCGGCCAACUAAGUCAGACGUGAAAUCCCUCGGCUUAACCGGGGAACUGCCUCUGAUACUGGAUGGCUUGAGAUUGGGAGAGGGAUGCGGAAUUCCAGGUGUAGCGGUGAAAUGCGUAGAUAUCUGGAGGAACACCGGUGGCGAAGGCGGCAUCCUGGACCAACACUGACGCUGAGGAGCGAAAGCGUGGGGAGCAAACAGG
rnacentral:rRNA from 1 species